AUUGAACGCUGGCGGCAUGCCUUACACAUGCAAGUCGAACGGCAGCACGGGUGCUUGCACCUGGUGGCGAGUGGCGAACGGGUGAGUAAUAUAUCGGAACGUACCUUAUUGUGGGGGAUAACGCAGCGAAAGCUGUGCUAAUACCGCAUAAUCCCUAAGGGGGAAAGCGGGGGACCGUAAGGCCUCGUGCAAUGAGAGCGGCCGAUACCUGAUUAGCUAGUUGGUGAGGUAAAGGCUCACCAAGGCAACGAUCAGUAGCUGGUCUGAGAGGACGAUCAGCCACACUGGGACUGAGACACGGCCCAGACUCCUACGGGAGGCAGCAGUGGGGAAUUUUGGACAAUGGGGGCAACCCUGAUCCAGCAAUGCCGCGUGAGUGAAGAAGGCCUUCGGGUUGUAAAGCUCUUUUGUCAGGGAAGAAACAGCAGCUCUAACACAGUUUGCGAAUGACGGUACCUGAAGAAUAAGCACCGGCUAACUACGUGCCAGCCGCCGCAGUAA
rnacentral:rRNA from 1 species